rnacentral:tRNA from 1 species
GCCCGGGUGGUGGAAUUGGUAGACACGCUAGUCUUAGGAACUAGUGCCGCAAGGCGUGCAGGUUCGAGUCCUGUUCCGGGUACCA